UACGUAGGGACCGAGCGUUGUCCGGAUUCAUUGGGCGUAAAGAGCUCGUAGGCGGCUGCUCAAGUCGAAUGUGAAAACUCGAGGCUCAACCUCGAGCCUGCAUUCGAUACUGGGCGGCUAGAGUCUGGUAGGGGGAUCUGGAAUUCCUGGUGUAGCGGUGGAAUGCGCAGAUAUUAGGAGGAACACCGGUGGCGAAGGCGCCACUCUGGGCCGAAACUGACGCUGAGGAGCGAAAGCGUGGGUAGCAAACAGG
rnacentral:rRNA from 1 species